GAUGAACGCUGGCGGCGUGCCUAAUACAUGCAAGUCGAGCGAACGGACGAGAAGCUUGCUUCUCUGAUGUUAGCGGCGGACGGGUGAGUAACACGUGGAUAACCUACCUAUAAGACUGGGAUAACUUCGGGAAACCGGAGCUAGUACCGGGUAAUAUUUUGAACCGCAUGGUUCAAAAGUGAAAGACGGUCUUGCUGUCACUUAUAGAUGGAUCCGCGCUGCAUUAGCUAGUUGGUAAGGUAACGGCUUACCAAGGCAACGAUGCAUAGCCGACCUGAGAGGGUGAUCGGCCACACUGGAACUGAGACACGGUCCAGACUCCUACGGGAGGCAGCAGUAGGGAAUCUUCCGCAAUGGGCGAAAGCCUGACGGAGCAACGCCGCGUGAGUGAUGAAGGUCUUCGGAUCGUAAAACUCUGUUAUUAGGGAAGAACAUAUGUGUAAGUAACUGUGCACAUCUUGACGGUACCUAAUCAGAAAGCCACGGCUAACUACGUG
rnacentral:rRNA from 1 species